GAAAACAAUCGCUAAUACAUUUUAAUUACUCAAAGCAACAACGAAUAUAAGCAAGUUGGAAUAAUAUUUACCCCAUAAUAGCCAAAUCUGUCUAUCCAUAAUUACAAAAUAUGUAAUCUUCUUUAGGAAUUCCCCCAUUAUCAAGUUACAAAAAGAAUUUAACUUCACGCACAAAAGUUCAAAAGUCACUUCCACUCAAAUUUCACUUUAGUAUUAAGAGAUAAAAUCCUACAAAAGCUUGUCUUGUCCCAUUAUUCCUAAGAUCGUCAUGUCACUUAACCUUCCAACAGACUUCGAUAAUGAAAAGGGCAUUGCAUUUCCAUAAGCCACAGAAGACAAAACCGAAAAAAUUACUCCAACAUUACAUAGAAGACAGGAGAUAUGUUACCCAAAAAUGAGGAUAACGUAUAUGACAACUCGUAACAUUUUCUCCCCCCAACAUGGCUUUCAUAAUUGACAUUAUAGAAUAAUCCAAAACCAAAAAGGGUAAUAACGACGAAUAAUAUGAAAAGUAGAGUCCAAAUAUUAAGUAUUGACUCGAUCAGGAAUGGACAAAAGGAAUAGUCAGAGGCAUGUUCAAGCAAUGAACCCAAAGUCAUCUAUAAAAAACACGACAGAGAACAAGAUACAAAGUACAAGCACAUUUCCUUUUGUCUGAGAGAGAAGGGACAUAAUUGACAUUAUAGAAUAAUCCAAAAUCAAAAAGGGUAAUAACGACGAAUAAUAUGAAAAGUAGAGUCCAAAUAUUAAGUAUUGACUCGAUCAGGAAUGGACAAAAGGAAUAGUCAGAGGCAUGUUCAAGCAAUGAACCCAAAGUCAUCUAUAAAAAACACGACAGAGAACAAGAUACAAAGUACAAGCACAUUUCC
rnacentral:lncRNA from 1 species